rnacentral:rRNA from 1 species
UAAGAGGUCCUGCCUGCCCCGUGAUCAUGUAUUCAACGGCCGCGGUAUUCUGACCGUGCGAAGGUAGCGCAAUCACUUGUCUUAUAAAUGAAGACCUGUAUGAAUGGCACGACGAGGGCUUAACUGUCUCCCCUCCCCAGUCAAUGAAAUUGAUCUCUCCGUGCAGAAGCGGGGAUUCUACCAUAAGACGAGAAGACCCUGUGGAGCUUUAGACGAAAAUUUAGCCCGUGUUAAGCAUCCUCCUUAAAAGCCAAAACUUAGCGGACCCUAUUUUUAUGUCUUUGGUUGGGGCGACCGCGGGGGACCAACUAACCCCCACGUAGACUGAGGGCACACCCCUCAAAAGAAAAUGAGCCUCCUCUCUUACUAACAGAAUUUCUGACUAAAAAUGACCCGGCAUAGCCGAUCAACGGACCCAGUUACCCCAGGGAUAACAGCGCAAUCCUCUUUGAGAGCCCGUAUCGACAAGAGGGUUUACGACCUCGAUGUUGGAUCAGGACAUCCUAAUGGUGCAGCCGCUAUUAAGGGUUCGUUUGUUCAACG